GACGAACGCUGGCGGCGUGCUUAACACAUGCCAGUCGAACGGAAAGGCCCUGCUUUUGUGGGGUGCUCGAGUGGCGAACGGGUGAGUAACACGUGAGUAACCUGCCCUUGACUUUGGGAUAACUUCAGGAAACUGGGGCUAAUACCGGAUAGGAGCUCCUGCUGCAUGGUGGGGGUUGGAAAGUUUCGGCGGUUGGGGAUGGACUCGCGGCUUAUCGGCUUGUUGGUGGGGUAGUGGCUUACCAAGGCUUUGACGGGUAGCCGACAUGAGAGGGUGACCGGCGACAUGGGGCCUAAGAGAGGGACCAGACUGCUACGGGGCGCAACAGUGGGGAGUAUGACACAGUAGGCGGGAGCGUGAUACAGAGACGCCGCGUGCGGGAUGACGGCCUUGGGGUUGUAAACCGCUUUCGCCUGUGACGAAGCGUGAGUGACGGUAAUGGGUAAAGAAGCACCGGCUAACUACGUG
rnacentral:rRNA from 1 species